rnacentral:misc_RNA from 1 species
GACAGUUACCGGAUGUAGCAAGGGAAUUGUCUUAUCAUCUUUCUCUGCCCCAAAUUCCAGUGUAAUAUCCAAAUGCUCAGAAGGAAAAGAAACUUCCUCUCUCUGGUCACAGAUGCGGACUCUCUCAUCACUCUGUGCACUCUGCUGAUCAGAAAGAGCAAUUGCUACUAACUUGGUGCAUAAACUUGAAUUAGAAAAUCUCCUUAUCGGUGGACCCAUUGAGUGAUUCGUUGAAACACGGUUCAUAAUUGGUGAAAAUAAACUUCCAGAAUGAAAGAAUCCAUUCUGGGAAGAUGAGAACGUCUUUUUGAGGUUUUUCUG